UACGUAGGGGGCUAGCGUUGUCCGGAAUCAUUGGGCGUAAAGCGCGUGUAGGCGGUCCGGUAAGUCCGCUGUGAAAGUCGGGGGCUCAACCCUCGGAUGCCGGUGGAUACUGUCGGGCUUGAGUACGGAAGAGGCGAGUGGAAUUCCUGGUGUAGCGGUGAAAUGCGCAGAUAUCAGGAGGAACACCAAUUGCGAAGGCAGCUCGCUGGGACGUCACUGACGCUGAGGCGCGAAAGCGUGGGGAGCAAACAGG
rnacentral:rRNA from 1 species